CCCCUAUGAUGAAGCAUGAGAUGGAUGGCCACCACCCUGGUGCUGACUAUCCGGUUGAUGGGCUGCCUGACCUGGGACACGCCCAGGACCUCAUGGACCAGCUGCCCCCAGGUGAUAGCAAUCAGCUGGCCUGGUUUGAUACGGACCUGUAAAUCGUCCUUUAGGAGUAACCAUACAAAUGGAUUUGGGGAGUGACUCACGAAGUGAAGAAUGCACACGAGUGGAUCACAAGAUGGCGUUAUCAAACCCUAGCCUUGCUUGUUCCUUUUUUUUUUUUAAUAUUUGUAAUGGUACUGACUUAGCUUGCUUUGAAGUAGCUUUUAUUUUUUGCAGUAACUGUUAGUUUUUAAGUCUCGUAGUGUUAUGUUCUAGUGAACCGGCUACAGCAAUUUCUGAUUUCUAAGAACUGAGUAAUGGUGUAGAACACUAAUUCAUAAUCAAUGCUAAUUGUAAUCUGGAGACGUGUAACAUUGUGUAGCCUUUUGUAUAAAUAGACAGAUAGAAAUGGUCCGAUUAGUUUCCUUUUUAAUAUGCUUAAAAUAAGCAGGUGGACCUAUUUCAUGUUUUUGAACAAGAACUUUAUUGGGGAUACGUGCGGUGGGGUAAAUCAGUAAGAGGUGUUACUUGAGCCUUCUUGUUUUGGACAGUAGACCAGUUGCCUUUUCCCAAAGUUGUUGUAACCUGCCGUGAUACAAUGCUUCACCAGAUGCGGUUAUAAAGAUGGUUCAGAAUUAAACUUUUAAUUCAUUAAAAAAAAAAAGAAA